GUGCAGCAGUCGAGAAUUUUCUCAAUGGGGGCAACCCUGAAGGAGCGACGCCGCGUGGAGGAUGAAGGUCUUCGGGUUGUAAACUCCUGUCAUUUGAGAACAAGGUGCACAUGUUAACUGCAUGUGCAUUGAUAGUAUCAGAAGAGGAAGGGACGGCUAACUCUGUGCCAGCAGCCGCGGUAAUACAGAGGUCCCAAGCGUUGUUCGGAUUCAUUGGGCGUAAAGGGUGUGUAGGUGGCGCCGUAAGUCGGGUGUGAAACCUCGGGGCUUAACUCCGAAACUGCAUUCGAUACUGCGGUGCUUGAGGACUGGAGAGGAGACUGGAAUUCAUGGUGUAGCAGUGAAAUGCGUAGAGAUCAUGAGGAAGACCAGUGGCGAAGGCGGGUCUCUGGACAGUUCUUGACACUGAGACACGAAGGCCAGGGGAGCAAACGGGAUUAGAUACCCCCGUAGU
rnacentral:rRNA from 1 species